rnacentral:rRNA from 1 species
GCAUAUCAAUAAGCGGAGGAAAAGAAACCAACCGGGAUUGCCUCAGUAACGGCGAGUGAAGCGGCAAGAGCUCAAAUUUGAAAUCUGGCCCCUCCGGGGUCCGAGUUGUAAUUUGCAGAGGAUGCUUCGGGUGCGGCCCCUGUCUAAGUGCCCUGGAACGGGCCGUCAGAGAGGGUGAGAAUCCCGUCUUGGGCAGGGUGCCCGUGCCCGUGUGAAGCUCCUUCGACGAGUCGAGUUGUUUGGGAAUGCAGCUCAAAAUGGGUGGUAAAUUUCAUCUAAAGCUAAAUACCGGCCGGAGACCGAUAGCGCACAAGUAGAGUGAUCGAAAGAUGAAAAGCACUUUGAAAAGAGAGUUAAACAGCACGUGAAAUUGUUGAAAGGGAAGCGCUUGCAACCAGACUCGGCCUCGGGGUUCAGCCAGCAUUCGUGCUGGUGUACUUCCCCGGGGCCGGGCCAGCGUCGGUUUGGGCGGCCGGUCAAAGGCCCCAGGAAUGUAUCGUCCUCCGGGACGUCUUAUAGCCUGGGGUGCAAUGCGGCCAGCCUGGACCGAGGAACGCGCUUCGGCACGGACGCUGGCGUAAUGGUCGCAAACGACCCGUCUUGAAACACGGACCAAGGAGUCUAACAUCUACGCGAGUGUUCGGGUGUCAAACCCGUACGCGCAGUGAAAGCGAACGGAGGUGGGAGCCCCCCCGGGGCGCACCAUCGACCGAUCCUGAUGUCUUCGGAUGGAUUUGAGUACGAGCGUAGCUGUGGGGACCCGAAAGAUGGUGAACUAUGCCUGAAUAGGGUGAAGCCAGAGGAAACUCUGGUGGAGGCUCGCAGCGGUUCUGACGUGCAAAUCGAUCGUCAAAUUUGGGUAUAGGGGCGAAAGACUAAUCGAACCAUCUAGUAGCUGGUUCCUGCCGA